rnacentral:pre_miRNA from 1 species
UGUAUAUGUGUGUGUGUGUGUGUGUGUGUGUGUGUUGUGUGUGUGUAUAUACACACACACACACACAUAUAUUCAUAUACA